AGUAGGACAGCCUCUGGAUGCUAAUCAAGCCAAAACAAGCUGCUUCAAAAAAUUUCAUCUAAAACAAAGUGGCUGUUCUAAUACUGGUCUUAUCAGCUCAGGUGUUGCUAAAGCCAUAGUGUGGGGAACACAGGCAAACUCAGAGGACUCUGCUCUGAUGGGAUUCAGCUCAACAUUCUUUCUGUGCCCAAAAACUGUGAAAAUCUUAACAGGUCCAACCCGAAGUUGACAAUGUAUAAAGAAGCAGAUGUAAACAAGUCUCCAGUACGCACUGCUCGAGUAGGUUGGCAGCUCGGUGGGGAGGAAACGACGAUCUCCAGCACCCCCUGCAGCAUCCUCGCCAAAAGACAGGCUCCGAGCGCACUUCAGGAUGAAAGAACUGAAAGCAUUUCAGCAAAGUCAGUACCAGCCACCCCAGUGGGAAAUGCCAUCAAAGAGUCCCUUUCGCCAGUGCUGCGCUGCUGAACGCAGCUCAGGAAAUAAAGAAACGUGGCUGAAUUCAGGACCUGCACCCACUGACACCACUGGUAAUUGGCCCUUUGCUCCUCUGAGUAGCAUGCUGGAGCUGUAAUGGAAAUCUCUGCCUGCUGUGGAAGUGUUGAUCUGUUAAUCACUGAGCACGCAUCGUCCCUGGCUGUUAGCUGAUUCUGCGGACAACUUUUGCUUGGCUUAUGGAUCACUGCUGCACGUGCAACGCAGAGCAUUAUAUUCAGGCAGAAAGAAAGUAAUGAAUUCAGUGCUGAGUAGUAAGAAACUAAACUGUUUAGAUAACCUUAGGCUUUUUCUGCUAAGAAAAUCAAUACAGCUAGAAGCUUAGAAAAUACUGACAUCGCCAGCAGAGUCCAGCUACAGAGCCUUGGAAAGCCCAAUGUAAAUGACCAAAGCAUCUUACUUUCCAUAUUUAGGCUUGUAUUACUUUGCUGUUUUUUUUUUUAAAUUCACAGAAAUUAGUUUGCAUAUCUCUUAAGAUAUCUUUGUCUGCAAGGUUUAAUUAUUUUUAAUCCAAAAUAUAAUUUCCCAGUCU
rnacentral:lncRNA from 7 species